rnacentral:rRNA from 1 species
AGCUGAUCAUUGGGUGUAAAGGGUGCGCAGGCGGUUUUGUAAGACAGAGGUGAAAUCCCCGGGCUCAACCUGGGAACUGCCUUUGUGACUGCAAGGCUGGAGUGCGGCAGAGGGGGAUGGGAUUCCGCGUGUAGCAGUGAAAUGCGUAGAUAUGCGGAGGAACACCGAUGGCGAAGGCAAUCCCCUGGGCCUGCACUGACGCUCAUGCACGAAAUCGUGGGGAGCAAACA